rnacentral:lncRNA from 1 species
CUUCCUCAAUUUUGGGACCAGCGCUGCCUCCAGCACCUGAUGGGAUGUCAUCAUCAUCCAUAGGAGCACCUUCACCUCCUGCACCCUGGUACAUCUUUGCAAUGAUGGGGUUGCAGAUGCUCUCCAACUCCUUCAUUUUGUCUUCAAAUUCAUCGGCCUCGGCAAGCUGGUUGCUUUCCAGCCACUGGAUACUGCCCUCAAUGGCUUCCUCUACCUUGGUCUUGUCAUCUGCGGAGAGCUUGGAAGCUAUCUUCUCAUCCUUCACAGUGUUCCUCAUGUUGUAUGCAUAGUUCUCCAAUGCAUUCUUUGCUUCAACCUUCUUCUUGUGUUCUUCAUCCUCUGACUUGUACUUCUCAGCUUCCUGGACCAUCUUCUCAAUUUCCUCCUUGGAGAGUCUACCCUUGUCAUUGGUGAUGGUGAUCUUGUUCUUCUGUCCAGUAGUCUUGUCCUCAGCAGACACAUUUAGGAUACCAUUGGCAUCAAUGUCAAAGCAAACAGUGAUCUGAGGAACACCCCUUGGAGCCGGAGGAAUGCCAGAGAGCUCAAACUUACCCAGUAAGUUGUUGUCCCUGGUCCUGGUUCUCUCACCUUCAUAAACCUGAAUCAACACACCAGGCUGGUUGUCGGAGUAGGUGGAAAAGACCUGCUCUUUCUUGGUAGGGAUAGUUGUGUUUCUUUGAAUCAAGACGGUCAUGACACCUCCAGCUGUUUCCAAACCAAGGGAAAGAGGGGUAACAUCCAAUAGAAGAAGAUCCUGCACCUUCUCAUUGCCUUCACCACUUAAGAUUGCUGCUUGUACAGCAGCCCCAUAAGCCACAGCCUCAUCAGGAUUAAUACUUUUGCAGAGCUCCUUUCCAUUGAAAAAAUCCUGCAACAGCUGCUGAACCUUUGGAAUCCUGGUAGAUCCACCAACAAGAACAACAUCAUGGAUAGUGCUUUUGUCCAUCUUUGCGUCCCUCAAACACUUCUCAACAGGCUCCAUACACUUCCUGAAGAGAUCCAUGUUAAGCUCCUCAAAUCUGGCUCUAGUGAUGGUAGAGUAGAAAUCUAUGCCCUCAAACAAAGAAUCAAUCUCAAUGGUGGUUUGAGCAGUGGAUGAGAGGGUCCUCUUCGCUCUCUCACAAGAUGUUCUCAACCUUCUAAGAGCCCUUGGGUUGCCAGUAAUGUCUUUCUUGUUCUUCCUCUUAAAUUCCUGAACAAAGUGGUUAACCAUUCUGUUGUCAAAGUCUUCACCACCGAGAUGGGUAUCACCAGCAGUAGCCUUGACCUCAAAGAUACCCUCCUCAAUAGUAAGGAGAGACACAUCAAAAGUUCCACCACCAAGAUCAAAAAUCAAGACAUUCUUCUCACCGACGCUGGUUGCUUUUUUGUCUAGACCAUAAGCAAUGGCAGCAGCUGUAGGUUCAUUAAUGAUACGCAACACAUUAAUACCUGCAAUGACACCUGCAUCCUUGGUAGCUUGACGCUGAGAGUCAUUGAAGUAUGCGGGGACUGUAACCACAGCAUUCUUAACUGUUGUACCAAGGAAAGCCUCAGCAAUCUCACGCAUCUUAAUAAGAACCAUUGAAGAGAUCUCCUCAGCUGCAAAUUGCUUGUCCUCACCCUUGUAGGCAACUGUGAUCAUGGGUUUCUCGCCAGGUCCAGGGGUGAUUUUGAAUGGCCAUAGCUUAAUAUCACUCUGCACAGAGGCAUCAGAGAAUCUCCUGCCUAUCAACCUCUUGGCAUCUGUCGAACAACAAAAAUAAUAUAAGUACCAGCCAGUUCUUUAAACUAAAGAAAACGUCAACUGUUGUUGCAGGUUUAAAUUGUCAGAAACUAAAGUACAAGUGAGAAGUUUUAUAAGAUCACAGAUACAGGUAUAACCUCCCACGAAUAUUACAAACAAAAUCAAUAGCAGGCACGGGUAAACAGGUAAAAGAAACCAUUUUAGUUAAUAGUUAAGUUGUCAAAUAUUUAUGAAGAUAUUCUACAAAAGAACAAAAUAAAAAGCUACAUAAUUAUCAUAUGCUUCAGCAAACAAACAAUCAGAUGGGUAAUAGUGAGAGUACAUUUAACCACAGAUAUUUUCAAGAAAUUCCAAUCAAAAUCUUAAAGUAAUUGGACUACAUAACAGAGGCCGGCAAUGAGCACCGUCAACAUAACACAAAAGCAAAAUAGCCCUCUCUGUUGGAUAUAGUUAUAUACAAUACAUAUUGAAGUUUCUACCAAAUACCUAAUCACACAUCAAUAACAUCAAACCAAUAGAAACCGACUGUGAGACUUACUUAAAUACACACACCAGUAGAACUUAAAAUCACAUACUCGUAAAUCUCAAAUCUUUCGAGCAAACUACAACUAACAAAACCAAAUUCAUGCACACAUAACUUCUAACAACAUAACAACACAAAUCCAGGUAGCUUAUAGCUAGUAAGAUACAAGGUCAAACAUAAACAUACAUAACAAGCAUGCUUCACUAGUAAAUCUACUAACUUAAUCAGAUCUAUAAUGCUAGAGUACACAUAAUCAGAUCUACAACAAAUCAUAAGAUAAUAAUUAAACAAUAGAGAAGUCGAGAUCUUACCAAACACGGUGUUAAUAGGAUUCAUAGCGACCUGAUUCUUAGCAGCAUCACCAAUCAAACGCUCGGAAUCAGUGAAAGCGACAUACGACGGCGUCGUUCUGUUACCUUGGUCAUUAGCGAUGAUCUCAACGCGGUCGUGUUGCCACACGCCGACGCAUGAGUAAGUGGUUCCGAGAUCGAUUCCGAUCGCCGGUCCUUCUCCCUUUCCGGCCAUAGUUCAGUUAGUCUUUUUGAAGUGUCGGCGUAGAAAAGGGAGAAUGUGUGGGAGGCGACU